CCAGAUGACCUAUGUAGGCAGAGAGAGAAGGCUUUUAAAGAGAUGGCUGAGGAAACAACAAAUGACCUAAACUGUUUCUCCUUAACCCAGACAGCUCCCCGCUGAGUUUGAUUCUUCUGUGUUUGUCAGUAUAAACAGAUAAUGUCAUAUUUAGAUGCCUGAAAUAUAACCCCUUAGCCUGUCUUCAGCCUCCAGUUUAAGGAAAAUAUAGCAAGAAGAUCCCUGGGAACAAGAUUUCAGAAAACUGCUUUCCAAACUGUGGCAGCUGCAAAAUAGGAGGCUCAGUAAAGUAGGAGCUAAUACAGAAAGCUGGUGUGUUACUGUCUGGCAGCUGUGGUUCACAUCAGGAGCAGAUCCAUUUCUGUGGUUAGAAACAAAACUAUGGUCACUCUCAGCCCCAUUUGACCUCUCAAGUACAGGCUCUGGACUCGAAAGCAGGAAUUAACAGGCUUCAUCUUCUCCUUCACAACAAACUGUGAAGAGCUUCAGCAGGAGGUUGGCUUCAGGGAGAGGCAAUGUAUCGGAACACAUUGCAAAAGACACUUCUUGCAAGAAAACACGGGGAAGAUGUCUUUGGCUGAUGACACAGUUCAGUUGCAAGACGCAGUAGUUCACAAGGCUCGCAGAAGGAACCUGACACAGGAUGUUCCCAAGCUAUGUGAGUAAUGCUACUGAGAGUCAUCUUCCUGCCAGCCAGAUUUCUAGGUUCAUCACCCAUAGUUGAAAGUAGAUUUCCAAGAAAAGUCAGCUUCCAAAAGCUUUCUUCAAGACUCAGUGGCCAGACUUGUGGAAGAAAACUGGAAAUGACUGCAGAGGUGUACUGGGUUGCUGUUUUCUGAUGGCAGGCAGAUGAGAGGCAGGUUAAAUGCAAAGGUAUUACUGCUGAGGACACUGAGUGCCAAGACCGGACUCUUCAUCACCCCACCCCCUGUCCUGUGGUCAGUACUUCAGCAUGGGAGAAAAGGACAGCAAAGCAGAGAAGGCAUCUGAACGUGAAGGAUAGAUGGAUUUGGAUAAACCAGGACAAAUCAUGAUGAAAACUGUUCUACUACAUCACAGAUUGUAGGGGCCUUCUGUAAAGAUCAGGUGUCACAUGGCUUUAUUUUGCACCUGUUGCCUUUAUGUAAGUCUUGGUGGCCUGAUGCCGGUGCUCUCUGGGCCUUGUUUCUGCUAGAAUUCCUGUUCCAGUUGGCUGCAGUUCUGGCCACGCAGGGCCACAGGCAAGGGAGGCACUACAAAUAUAAAAUAAGGCACUGUUCUGUGAAGUGCCACUGAAAUGACUGCUUGAUGAGUGAGGUACUCCUUCCCAUGAAUAAGGGGACAAAAGUUUGGAGCUAAUGAGAAGUGCAGCAUUUGAGUGUUUGUUUUGAAGACAGUAGCUCAUUCUUCAGGCUGUGGUACAGAGGCAAGGGAAACUGUGUUUGGGGUCAGGAGUUUCCCAAAGGGAGCUGCUUCUGUUUGCACUGAGUAUGUAACUCCCCUUAGAGGUGAUGCUACAUGAGUCUGCUCUGAAGUCUCCUGAAACCAGCGGGAGCCCAUCUGCACACAUGGAAUACUUCUUAAUAGGACAAGCACAACUUCUGUGAAUGAGUUGUCAAGAAAGCAUGUGGUAUAGCUAAGAAAUGCAGAGGAUUCCUUUUAGUUGUUUGGUGGUGGUUUGGGGUUUCAUUCCUAUGAGAAAAAAUCCAGUGAAAGGCUUGUCUUUCCCUUGAUGCUUCAUCAGAUUUUUAUUUCCUUUUUAGAGUAGAUGGCAAACAUCCUAGGCUGUUCUUCUGUGGAAAUGGUGCAUUUCCUAUGAAAAGUUCAUCUGCAGUGAGAAAGAAAGCAGCUUUAAAAGCUUCUGUUCAUCCAAAUGAAGCAGUCUUGAACUAAUGUGCUGCUGAAAA